AGAGUUUGAUCCUGGCUCAGGAUGAACGCUAGCUACAGGCUUAACACAUGCAAGUCGAGGGGCAGCAUGAAGUCAGCUUGCUGACUUUGAUGGCGACCGGCGCACGGGUGAGUAACGCGUAUCCAACCUUCCCCUGUCUCGGGCAUAACCCGGUGAAAACCGGACUAAUUCCCGAUGUUGUUCCUUGACGGCAUCAGAUUGGAACCAAAGAUUUAUCGGACAGGGAUGGGGAUGCGUCUGAUUAGGUAGUUGGUGAGGUAACGGCUCACCAAGCCUUCGAUCAGUAGGGGUUCUGAGAGGAAGGUCCCCCACAUUGGAACUGAGACACGGUCCAAACUCCUACGGGAGGCAGCAGUGAGGAAUAUUGGUCAAUGGGCGUAAGCCUGAACCAGCCAAGUCGCGUGAGGGAUGAAGGUUCUAUGGAUCGUAAACCUCUUUUAUAAAGGAAUAAAGUCGGGUAUGCAUACCCGUUUGCAUGUACUUUAUGAAUAAGGAUCGGCUAACUCCGUGCCAGCAGCCGCGGUAAUACGGAGGAUCCGAGCGUUAUCCGGAUUUAUUGGGUUUAAAGGGAGCGUAGAUGGAUGUUUAAGUCAGUUGUGAAAGUUUGCGGCUCAACCGUAAAAUUGCAGUUGAUACUGGAUGUCUUGAGUGCAGUUGAGGCAGGCGGAAUUCGUGGUGUAGCGGUGAAAUGCUUAGAUAUCACGAAGAACUCCGAUUGCGAAGGCAGCCUGCUAAGCUGCAACUGACAUUGAGGCUCGAAAGUGUGGGUAUCAAACAGGAUUAGAUACCCUGGUAGUCCACACGGUAAACGAUGAAUACUCGCUGUUUGCGAUAUACGGCAAGCGGCCAAGCGAAAGCGUUAAGUAUUCCACCUGGGGAGUACGCCGGCAACGGUGAAACUCAAAGGAAUUGACGGGGGCCCGCACAAGCGGAGGAACAUGUGGUUUAAUUCGAUGAUACGCGAGGAACCUUACCCGGGCUUAAAUUGCACUCGAAUGAUCCGGAAACGGUUCAGCUAGCAAUAGCGAGUGUGAAGGUGCUGCAUGGCUGUCGUCAGCUCGUGCCGUGAGGUGUCGGCUUAAGUGCCAUAACGAGCGCAACCCUUGUUGUCAGUUACUAACAGGUGAUGCUGAGGACUCUGACAAGACUGCCAUCGUAAGAUGUGAGGAAGGUGGGGAUGACGUCAAAUCAGCACGGCCCUUACGUCCGGGGCUACACACGUGUUACAAUGGGGGGUACAGAGGGCCGCUACCACGCGAGUGGAUGCCAAUCCCUAAAACCCCUCUCAGUUCGGACUGGAGUCUGCAACCCGACUCCACGAAGCUGGAUUCGCUAGUAAUCGCGCAUCAGCCACGGCGCGGUGAAUACGUUCCCGGGCCUUGCACACACCGCCCGUCAAG
rnacentral:rRNA from 1 species